UAAAUAACAUUCGAAUAAUUGAUAUUAAGACUGUCAUUUUCAAUUUUUGUGUUUCCCGCAAUUUGAAGCAAAUGAAGUACCAUCGAUGCGCACUGCAUUGUAUAAAUCGAUGCGUCUCAGCCGCGGGCUUUUAGCUACUUUUAGCCUACUCCAAUUUUUCUGCGUCCGGUUUACGGGGUUUUUGCUUUAUUCGAGUGUUUUAAAACAUCAUAAUGUAUAAUUUGAAAAAUAAAAACUUGUAAUGAAUGUGUCUUAUAUUAAAAUACUCUCGAUUAUAUAUUUUCUAUGAAUAUGUUGAUGCAUUUUUUUUAAUAAGCAAUAAGAAUAUGAUCUCAUUUUUUCAUUGUUCGAAUACUUGUCGUAAUUGUGUUGAACAAUUUGUGUGAAAUUAAUAUGUUUCUUGUUAUAUCACUAAUUUACGAAGCUUUAUUAACCCCGGCAAUUUGCGUUCAGCAAUACGGGGACUUGCAUUUAUUAGUUGCAUAAUUAUAUUAAAUAAUGAGAAUCAACGCAACAAAAAUGAGUACUCCGAUCGAGGAGAAGAUUGAUCAGAAAUUGAAGGUAAGAACAGGAAUGGUGAGUGUUAGUGAUGGAAAAAGUAAACCAGUACCAAUGCGUUUACAUCUGUCUAUGGAAGUUUUAAAACUUCAAAGAGAAGAUUUAGAGCAGGCAGCGAAUCAUAAUAAACCUCCAUUAGAUGCUAAAGAAAGAAUGGUACAAAUUACAAGACAAAAAGUUGGAGGCUUAGGAUUAAGUAUAAAAGGAGGAGCAGAACAUAAACUUCCUGUACUUAUAUCUAGAAUUUAUAAAGGCCAAGCAGCUGAUCAAUGUGGCCAACUAUUUGUAGGAGAUGCGAUUAUUAAAGUAAAUGGAGAAUAUAUAACUGCAUGUAAUCAUGAUGAUGCUGUCAACAUUUUAAGAAAUGCUGGUGAUAUAGUAGUUUUAACAGUAAAACAUUAUCGUGCAGCAAAGCCAUUUCUACAAAAAAAUGAAAAAGAAGAAAAAUUAGACAACGUUGCAAAUGGAGGAUCAGAAGAUGAAUGGUUAUCAUCUAAUAGACAAAGUGAUAGUUCUAGAUGUGGUCAUAGUAGACAAAGUUCAAAUGCAUCUGCCACUUCAAUGCAAUAUAAAAAAUGGAUAGAUGUUAUAACAGUUCCAUUAAUGAUGGCUUAUGUGACAAGAUAUAUCUUUGGAACAGAUAAACUAAGAAGAAAUGCAUUUGAAGUAAGAGGAUUAAAUGGUGCACGUACAGGUGUAAUUCAUUGUGAUGAUAGUGCCAUUUUAAGUCAAUGGUUAAAAUAUAUAACAGAUAAUAUUACAGGUUUAACGCAUUUACAGAUGAAAUUAUAUAACCGCAAUUUUGGAGUUGGUGAACGUAUAGAAUAUAUGGGAUGGGUUAAUGAAGCAGUAAGUAAUAGUAAUCAACCAUGGCAAAGUUAUAGACCAAGAUUUUUAGCAUUAAAAGGACCUGAUUUGUUAUUAUUUGAAACUCCUCCUUGCAAUAUAGGAGAUUGGUCACGAUGUGCAUUGACCUUUAAAGUAUAUCAAACAAUGUUUCGCGUAAUGCGAGAAUCCGAAAAUGUUGAUGAAAGACAACAUUGUUUUUUAGCUCAAAGUCCAGGUAAACCACCGCGAUAUUUAAGUGUCGAAACUAGACAAGAACUAUUAAGAGUAGAAGCAGCAUGGCAUACUGCAGUAUGUUCAGCUGUUACACAUUUGAAAAGUAAAACAUUUCCAGUUACUUUUAAUGGGAAAAGUGCAGGUUUAACUCUAGAAUGGACUCAAGGUUUUACACUUUCUUAUGAUGACAUUGGAGAGACUGUAUGGCGUUAUAAAUUUUCACAAUUAAGAGGAUCUAGUGAUGAUGGAAAAAGUAGAUUAAAAUUACAUUUUCAAGAAUCAGAUAGUAUUGCUAUUGAGACAAAGGAAUUGGAAUGUUCUCAAUUGCAGAAUUUAUUAUUCUGUAUGCAUGCAUUUUUAACUGCAAAGGUUGCUGCAGUUGAUCCAACAUUUUUAACAUCAACAACUCCAUAAAAUUGAACCAAGAACGGAAUUGUUGAAGAGGUAUUUGCUAUAACGUGUCAACUCGUGUAUCAAUAUGGCGGCGAAUCUCGAGGAAGAGCAAAGUUUAAGAGAGUGCGAGGAAUACGUACAAAGACACAAUAUUCAACAAGUUUUAAAAGACUGUAUAGUGCAGCUGUGUGUAGGUCGUCCUGAAAAUCCCAUAUCUUUCCUGAGAGAAUACUUUCAAAAACUGGAACGGGGUUGCAUCGUUUUGGAAUAAAUAAAUAAUAAGCAAAAGU